rnacentral:lncRNA from 1 species
GCAUACUUGUUUUUUUCUUACCAUGAGAACAUUCUUAACAAGCUUGCAUUCGCAUGUACAUAUGCAACUUACUUACUCUUACCAUUAAAGUAUGAGUUUGUAAAAUCGUAAUAUCGUUUUGGAUAGGAGGAAAAAGAAAACAAGACAAGAUAUUUUUAUAUCGGAUCGUGGGGAAUUAGUCGAACGCAAAGGAAAAGGUGACACGUUGCUAUUUUUGGAGAGACAGACUGUGCCGGGCCGAUACCUGUUUGCGAACUUGCUACUUUUCAUUAUACACGUUUGCUAUAAUGCAAGCAAACUCACUUGUCAAGGAUGCUAAUUCCUGUAAGAGAUUCUAUCUUCCACUAUUUUUAUUUCCUAUACUUUUCUUCCUUCCAUUUGAACUAUUUUCUUUGCUUCCUUUCAGUUUCAUUUAUCAAUGAUACUUCAAAGUUUAUCUUUCUCUGAUUUAAAUGCUAACGGUUGCAAAGGUUUUUUUUAAUUAACUUUUACUAGAGUUGUACGCACUAGUAUUGAAAAUAUUUCAGUAUUAAUAAAUAGGUAAAAUAAGAAAAGAAAAGUAAAAGAUUCGUGUUGCAAGUUGCUUCCAAUUUAAAAGUAAGUAAUCUUUUUUCUUUGUAGCAAAUGAAGCGUCCAAUGUGAAACGAAGACGACGACGAUGACGAUUCGGUCGAUUAAUUCGGUAACCUGGUAUUAUCGAUGUCGCUACGAUCGGGAUACACGAGAAAGAUCAUGCUGAAACUAAGUCAUCUUGACGAAGAAGAGAGUCAUCGGCAACGUUGCGGUCCAAAAACAGUUCGAGGAGGAACCCUGUGCCACGAAUGUUCUUCCUACUACGAUAAAUGGUUUUCAACAGCGGUAUUCUCGACGUUCUGUCAGGGUUGCCAGAUCUGUAGCCUGUUAAGAUGUUAACAAUACAGCAAAAUGAAAAUACACCUAUACCAAUUCCAACAUGACCUUCGAUGCACAGGAAGCUACGAUAUUAACGGAAAUUUUAUUUUAAACUUUUAGACGGAGCUUUUAUUAUUUUACCAUUAGAAGAACAUCAGGCGUUCUAUGAUUGUUGUACAAAUUUAUUUUAUUUACAUGCUCAUGGGAAAGAUUUGUGUGUGUGUGUGGGUGCGUGGGUGUAUUAGAAAAACGAUCAUAGAAAAUGACGAUACAAUGUUCGUACAAAAAAAAAAGACAAGUGAGAUUGUUGUAGGUAUUUAAAAAAAAAUAUGUAUAUAUAUAAUAAGAAUAAUAAAGAAUCUCUAGAAAUCGUUUGGAUACUUUUGAAUUUCUAUAUUUUUAAGAGGUGGGGGAGUUUCUUUUUUAACGCGACGCCUUGUCAUCUCCUCCCUCGAAAAGUAAUUCUGUCGCAGGACUAUGCAAUGAUCAAACUGCUCGGUUAUUUUUACUUGCUCGACACAACCGAUCGACACUGUGUUGGAACGUACUGAGCGUCGCUUCAUUACAAAAUAAUACUAUCAGCAUAGAUAAAUGUAUAUAUGCCUCUGUGUGUGUGUGUGUUUAUGUGUACGUAAAAAAAAAAUAAUAAAGGAAUGCAACCGAAAGUGUUGCAUUUUUGUUCCCCCCC